CAGCAGCCGCGGUAAUACGGAGGGUGCAAGCGUUAAUCGGAAUUACUGGGCGUAAAGCGUGCGUAGGCGGUUCGUUAAGUCUGUUGUGAAAGCCCCGGGCUCAACCUGGGAAUGGCAAUGGAUACUGGCGAGCUAGAGUGUGUCAGAGGAUGGUGGAAUUCCCGGUGUAGCGGUGAAAUGCGUAGAGAUCGGGAGGAACAUCAGUGGCGAAGGCGGCCAUCUGGGACAACACUGACGCUGAGGCACGAAAGCGUGGGGAGCAAACAGGAUUAGAUACCCCUGUAGUCCCUGUCUCGUAUAC
rnacentral:rRNA from 1 species